GAGCAAGGGCGUCCAAUAUUUAAAAUAUGGCGCAAAUUGCAUUGAAGGUUGGCAAUAAUAUCAAGCGAUUCUCCGUGCCUAUCAAAUUCUAAUUGUUUUGAUUAUGGCCUCGAACAAGUCGAGACAUU